CUUUGGGGAGAGAUUUGGUUCUCCCUAAAUCUUCAAUUCCCUUUCCUAGUAUCAGGAACUAGCCAGACCUGAUUAUAAGUAGUAGACACUUUAUUUGGGUUCACACAGGAAAGGGAGAGGUAGGGGUGUCAGGUUGGAAAAGUGGGUAAACAAGAAGCCCUAUUUACUGGCAGACUGACCCCCCUAAACUUUUGAGGUUCAGCCUCUUGGCCUUGACCCCUCUUCUGCUUGAGAAUUGGAGUCCAGGACAAGUUAGGGAAAGGGAUGGAGAAUAAAUCUUUGGAGAGAGGAUUUCUCUGUAGAUGGCUUUCUUCAAAGUCCCAGUCCACAAUAUCUUAAGCUGAGUGAGAGAUAUUCAGGGGUUCACUGGGAAACAGUUGAACUCCAGAGAGACCCAAUCUUAGGAUAUCUGCUUCUCAGGCUCCCAGCUGAAGAAGUGCCAGAGUAAUUGGAGUUCUUCUAGCUUCUGUCCUCUGACUGGAACCUUGAGUUUUUCCUCUUCUUGUACCUCCCCCACUCACUCUCUGCUCCUUGCACAAUUGGAUUUGAUUUCUCUCUCUUACACAAGCCAGAGUAUGGCUUGUUCAGCCAAUCUCUUGGUUUCUUGUUCCCUUUGUGUCCCCCUGAAUAAGGCUCCUUUUAUCUGACUGUGAUCAAGUUAAGUUUAAUGUUGAUUAAGAUAGCAGAAGGUGGGGAACCGGUAAAGGUAUAUGAGGUCCUUCUUCCUGGUUGACCAAAUGGCUAAAACCAGAAAUUCACCUUCCCUUUCCCUAAUUCUUAUCCUAAUCUAAACUACAGUAUUAGGGCUGACAGGGAUUGAAUAAAAGCAGGUAAGGGUGAAGGUCUUUAGGGGUCUGGCUCAGAGGCCAACUGAGUUCUUGACCCCUCAGGUCUGGAGAGACCAGAAUCUCUCUCCUUUGUUGUUGGUAAAGGCUGUCAGGCAACACCAGGAUUUGAGAUGAGAUAUCCACGGCUAAUCCUGUGGGCUGACUUUUGUUUGAUCCCAAGAAGACAAGAGUUCCUCCUCUCUCCCCAAGAUCUCAGAUCAAAAGCCCCUCUCCUUUCCGGAUCCUUUCCCGGCGGGGUAUGGGGCAUGGCAAGCCAUAGAAAAGUCUCUUAGUCCUGUAUAACUCUCUUCCCUUUCUGCACUGACAAUGCCACAUCCUAGGUGUCAGGGAAGUGUUUUUGGAUCAACUAUUAGCAUUCAUUUUGAAUUAGCAUUCAUUCAAUUAAAAAAAUUAAUACUGGAUUAGAAGUUUUCCUUAAUCUCAUUUUAAAUUUCUACUUGAAACAAUGAAAUUAUAUAUGCAAUAGGGUAAUGGAAUUAUUCCCACUAAAUAUAGUUAUAAAACAGGUCUACUUUCACUGUUUCUAUUUGACAUAAUUUUAGAAGUGUUAACUAUAGGAGUAAUCCAUGGGAAACUUUUUUAAAAGCACUUAACGGAGAGAGACCAGACAAUAUUCUUUCGUCAAAUAGCAUCACUGAAGUUUGCUGGAUUGGCAAAACGACAGUUGAGAAAGGGUAUUAUUUAUGCAGGGCCAUUCUUCAUGCACAAAGCAUGCGCUUUGGCCAAUGGCUUUCCAAAGCAUGGAAUUUUCUUUGAUUCAUACACUUAAUAAAGCACUGAGCCCCUUCCUUAGGGAAGUGGCC
ensembl:lncRNA